UACGGGGGGAGCAAGCGUUGUUCGGAUUUACUGGGCGUAAAGGGCGCGUAGGCGGCCACCGCAAGUCGGUUGUGAAAUCUCUGGGCUUAACCCAGAAAGGUCAACCGAUACUGCGGGGCUAGAGUGCAGAAGGGGCAACUGGAAUUCUCGGUGUAGCGGUGAAAUGCGUAGAUAUCGAGAGGAACACCUGCGGCGAAGGCGGUUCUCUGGGCAUUACCUGACGCUGAGGAGCGAAAGUGUGGGGAGCGAACAGG
rnacentral:rRNA from 1 species